UACGUAGGGUGCGAGCGUUGUCCGGAGUUACUGGGCGUAAAGAGCUCGUAGGUGGUUUGUCGCGUUGUCCGUGAAAACUCACAACUCAAUUGUGGGCGUGCGGGCGAUACGGGCAGACUGGAGUACUGCAGGGGAGACUGGAAGUUCCUGGUGUAGCGGUGAAAUGCACAGAUAUCAGGAGGAACACCGGUGGCGAAGGCGGGUCUCUGGGCCGAUACUGACGCUGAGGAGCGAAGCGUGGGGAGCGAACAGG
rnacentral:rRNA from 1 species